AGCCCUCUGUAUCCGUACUGAGAUUUUGUCAGAGAUCAACCCGUUGGUGCUGAUGCAACUUACCAAAUAAGUGAAGCU
rnacentral:pre_miRNA from 1 species